GGAGAGGUGCCAGAGUGGUCGAUCGGGACGGUCUCGAAAACCGUUGUGCGGGCAACUGUACCGAGGGUUCGAAUCCCUCCCUCUCCGCUA
rnacentral:tRNA from 1 species